UUUGGUUAUCAAACAGGUUGGCAGGUAAACAUUGAAGUCUGUUAAAACUGAGGUCAACAACUUCCAAAUGUGGAGAUGACACCAACAAGUGGCUAUCAAGGCUUUGUAAGUGAUUACUUCUUAAACGCAACUUACUGAAACAUGAAGGUCGUAAAAGUCCGAAGUUAGGCACCAUGAAAGGAGAAAUGCACCCUUGGAAAACGCUUGAGGUAAUAUUCCAUCUCUGGGCUGAAAUAUAUGUAUCACAACGACCUUAUAUAUGGCGAUUAUGGAAGCAUUCUGUACGGCAUAAGAUUUCGUGUAAGAUAACUACGUUUGAGUUUCAGCUUGCGUGCAAAUAUAAAGAUCCGUGAAAUUCAAUUUAAACCUCCGCCGUUGUUUAUCAAGAAGGCAAUCACCCCGCAGGUUAUCAGUUUAUACGAAACCACUAAAGAUAAAUUCCUACACGAUCGAAAUUAUCACGGUAUUAUGUGCAAUAAAUAUGUCAGUGUUGCCCAUUUCCAAGUGAUAAAUACGUAUUUCAAAUAAAAGUAUAUACAGUACGGUGGUGGAACACUGGGACCUAUUCAUUAUGUUUUCUCGUUCCAUUUGGUGGGGGAAGAUGGGACACCUUUGGCACAAAAUAUCCGAAA